rnacentral:piRNA from 1 species
UGCUAAAUAAAAAGAUUGCCAUCAGUGAC